GACGAACGCUGGCGGCGUGCUUAACACAUGCAAGUCGAGCGAGGCGCUUUGGAAAGAUUCUUCGGAUGAUUUCCUUUGUGACUGAGCGGCGGACGGGUGAGUAACGCGUGGGUAACCUGCCUCAUACAGGGGGAUAACAGUUAGAAAUGACUGCUAAUACCGCAUAAGACCACGGUACUGCAUGGUACAGUGGUAAAAACUCCGGUGGUAUGAGAUGGACCCGCGUCUGAUUAGGUAGUUGGUGGGGUAACGGCCUACCAAGCCGACGAUCAGUAGCCGACCUGAGAGGGUGACCGGCCACAUUGGGACUGAGACACGGCCCAGACUCCUACGGGAGGCAGCAGUGGGGAAUAUUGCACAAUGGAGGAAACUCUGAUGCAGCGACGCCGCGUGAAGGAUGAAGUAUUUCGGUAUGUAAACUUCUAUCAGCAGGGAAGGAAAUGACGGUACCUGACUAAGAAGCCCCGGCUAACUACGUGCCAGCCGCCGCGGUAAGAC
rnacentral:rRNA from 1 species